rnacentral:rRNA from 1 species
GUUUGAGGCCAUACCACAUAGAACUCACCCGGUCUCGUCAACUCCCGGAAGUUAAGCUAUGUCGGGUCCCGUUUGUACUUGGAUGGGUGACCGCUUGGAAAUACGGGAUGCUGUUGGCA